CAGAGGGGGCAAGCGUUGCUCGGAAUCACUGGGCGUAAAGGGCGCGUAGGCGGGAUGGCAAGUCAGUCGUGAAAUCUCUCGGCUCAACCGAGAAUCGUCGGCUGAUACUGCCGUUCUUGAGGGAUGCAGAGGAGACUGGAAUUCCCGGUGUAGCGGUGAAAUGUGUAGAGAUCGGGAGGAACACCGGUGGCGAAGGCGGGUCUCUGGGCAUUUCCUGACGCUGAGGCGCGAAAGCGUGGGGAGCAGACGGGAUUAGAUACCCCGGUGGUCCACGCUGUAAACGAUGACGACUAGGUGUGGGGCGGUUUAGUCCAUUCCGUGCCGCAGCUAACGCAUUAAGUCGUCCGCCUGGGGAGUACGGCCGCAAGGUUG
rnacentral:rRNA from 1 species